UUACGUUUUUUUUUUUGUCACAUAAAACUUCAUUAAAACUUAAAAGCCCAAAGGCAAAGUAGCCCAAUAGAGGGUCCAUUACAAACUAGAGGUCCAAAAAGCAGAUUUUGCUAAGGCAUCAGCCUCAUCGUUAUCUUCUCUACCAAUAUGAAAAAAUGCGAUUGAAACAAAAUCAGAAGAGAGAUCAUGAAUGUCUUCAAUGAUCCCCACCAGUUCCUUCCUCUGAUUCUUGUUGUUGAUUGCUCGAAUGAGCGUUCGAUUGUCGGAGUACACCCAGAGACUAGAGUUCCCUUGACUAGCUGCCUUGAAUAUACCUUCCCUCACGGCUAGAGCUUCGGCGAUCAGUGGUGAGUUGAGAAAGUGCUGAAUCGUCGAGCCCUGAUCCACUGCCGACUCCUGUCUCCCUCUUAAAACCCAUGCCAGUCCUGCUCUAUGUCGUUCUGCAUCCCAUGCCGCGUCUGAUUUACAUACAACGAUCUCGGGAUCCGACGGAGGAGUUAGGCUUUUGUUUUCAAAGACCAGGAGGUUACGAUCUUUCCAGAUCGACCAAAUCACCCACGGGAAGAUUGGUUUUGAGACUCCUGUUGGUGGUAAACAAAUCGCUGAACGGAAUCGAGUUGUCAUUACUUUAAAGGAAUCGUCGACAGCUAAGUGAACUGUAGAUCACAUCUAUUACGUACCGGGUUGUUUUCUUUACUGUUUUUUUUUCAUAAUUAACAGUUUAUUUGAAUUUCACAUCGCAUGAAAACAAGCUGCGAUGAUUAUAUAUAUAUAUAUAUAUGCAUUUCAGAUACUUUGAAAGGAAGAUCAUAUCAAUCUCAUUUAUAGCUUUGAUUAUCGAAAAAGUGUAGGUCAGUUAAAGGUUGAAGGAUAUGGAGAUAUAAAGAGGCCACCAAAUUGUAGAUUGGCGACUCUUGGAGAUUAUAAAGCGUGACAUUCUCCUUUUAACACAUAUAAAUCACAGAUAUCAAUGAUUUUCAACUAAGAACGUGCUUCUUUUUUUCUCUUUAAAGAUGAAUUUUCUCCACUACAUAUUUAACCCAACAUUUUUUUUUUUUUGGUAAAACAUUUAACCCCAACAUUCGUAAAAGCGUUCAAUAAACCUAAAACAACAUUUUGUUUGCAUUUGUUCAGUUUUUUUUGCAUACAUACAUAUUAAAUAGAUUAUAAACUAGUGCAUAUUUUUAUCGAGAACUCGAGAUUGUAGAAAUCAAAAUGGGACAUGAGAAAUAGGUUAUAUGCGUUCGUAAUUAUGGGCGUAUAUAUGUACAUAAUCAUUCCUAUAAUAUACUGAACAUUAGCAAACCAAUCAUCUCUUCUAUAAUUUUAAACUUGUAGGGUAAUAGCUUGUGCUUUAUAUUUUUUUUAUAAAAAAUCUUGGAAAGUUCUCAAUGAUUGGGGGCAUUUCGAUCGGCCUAUAAUUAAAUUACUACACUAACAUCAGAACCCAAAAUCCAACUUUAGUUGUAGCAUAUACUAGCUAUGUGACUAUGAUAUUCUCCAAAUCAUAUACUAAUUACAUUGUUUAUUGUAGAUUCAUUCAUAUAAUUGAGGGGUGGACAAUUCUAUAAAAGAAUCAGAAUUAAAAGGUUUACUAAUGACUUGGCAGGAUUCUGUCGAGGUUUGCCGAGAAGUUUGAAGAAGUUGGUUGCGUUAGCAGUUUAGGCAAAGCCAUUGACUUAAUGGACAAAUAUUUUUGUUUUUUUCUUCUCUAUUUCUUUUUGAAUUUUGACCACUAAGAAAUGGUAACAUUUCUGAAAUUAGGAUUUUAUACAGGGUUACAAUUAUACUAUGCGUUUCCAUAAAGUACCCAGUCCUCGAAUUUACUCGUUUGGUGGUUUACAAUAAGAGCUUGUCGCAUCCAAAAAUGUCAUGUGAUAUAUGGUCAAUGAAUAUAAAAUGUCCCAUGCGUACGACUUAUAUGCUU